rnacentral:rRNA from 1 species
GGCUGUAGGGGCACUAAGAGAUCCUGCUCUUACGGUCCUUUAACGGGGUAGUGGCAAACGGGUGAGUAACGCGAGGGAACGUGCCCAAAGGUAGGGAACAACCGAGGGAAACUUCGGCUAAUACCCUAUGUGCCCGUGAGGGGAAAGAUUUAUCGCCUUUGGAGCGGCCCGCGUCUGAUUAGCUAGUUGGUGGGGUAAAGGCUCACCAAGGCUUCGAUCAGUAGCUGGUCUGAGAGGAUGGCCAGCCACACUGGGACUGAGACACGGCCCAGACUCCUACGGGAGGCAGCAGUGGGGAAUCUUGCGCAAUGGGCGAAAGCCUGACGCAGCCAUGCCGCGUGGAUGAUGAAGGUCUUAGGAUUGUAAAAUCCUUUCAGCGGGGACGAUAAUGACGGUACCCGCAGAAGAAGCCCCGGCUAACUUCGUGCCAGCAGCCGCGGUAAUACGAAGGGGGCUAGCGUUGCUCGGAAUUACUGGGCGUAAAGGGAGCGUAGGCGGAUCGUUUAGUCAGGGGUGAAAUCCCGGGGCUCAACCUCGGAACUGCCUUUGAUACUGGCGAUCUUGAGUAUGGGAGAGGUGUGUGGAACUCCGAGUGUAGAGGUGAAAUUCGUAGAUAUUCGGAAGAACACCAGUGGCGAAGGCGACACACU